GCGCUCCCGCUGCGCGCCCGCCCCGCCGGCACCCUUCGCCGCGCCGCGGGGAGAGCCUCGGGCCGGGUUCGCCGCGCCUCCGACGCGCGGGGCUCCACCGCCCGGGCUCACCCCCCGCCCGGCCCCCGUGGGAAGCCCUGGUGUCCAGAGAUAACCGCCGUGGAGACCCUGCCCGGGCGUCCCCGGGCCUAAGAGCUACAGCAGCGCCGCCGCCCGCCCGGGGCCCGCGGAGAUGGGCCGGCCGCAGUUCUCCAGGGCUGGCCUCGCAGGGCCCGGGCGCUGGGGGCCUCGAUCGAAGCCGCUCCGAGCGCUGUGGGAGAGCGGGUGAGAAGGAAGCAGCAGCCCGGCGGCCUCCCCGGAGGCGCUGCCCAGCCCCUGUCCUGGGCCGACGUUCAGGCUGGUGCUGGACCCUGUGACACGUCGCAAUUUCACCUUAACUCCUUCCCUGUGAAGACAGUCCCCUCAAGGGAAGGACUGGAGCGCUGACCCUCCCUUAAUCACCAUCGCCUUCUCACUCCUUCCAUCUGAGUUCCACUGACAGGGUCUACUGAGACCACUCUAGCUAAAAAGAGGGGGAAAGUCAAACCCCAUAUACAAGAAAAUACAGAAGAGUGAAAGGAAAUGAGAGAGAACACACACAGAGUCCUUCAUCUAACGGAGUACUUCUCAAAGUUUUCCGCUUCUAGGGAGAUAGAACCAUAAACUAUUGGGGGCGGGGGGAGAGAAGCUACCACCACUUCAACCCGCUUUAUCUUAAGAAUCCCUGCACACUUUCCACUCUAUUCCAUAGUAUCUCUGUGUGUUUUCCUAUUUUAAAAAUAGGUUUAAAUAUCAGGAAAAAGUGUUCUACCUGUCUCAUUGAUGAAUGACCAAAUACGGUGUAAUGGCACUACUCCUAUGGAAACGGGCAGAUUCAAGAGGGCCGCCAUUGUGUAUCAAAGUGGCUUCUCCACUCUCUGCAUCAGUAUUUUGAAAACUCAGACUGGAUAUAUGAAUAUGAAUAACAGGCUUUUCGCUGCGUUUUGGCUAUGGCCAGGUUAUGGCUCAGAAGUUGCCAGAGAGCAAUGUUUUCAUUAAGUGUAUAUUCUUGCUAAGAGUUUAGGUCACAAGUCGUAUGUUGGCUAAAAAGAUCUCUGCUCCCUGAUUCAUUCCUUUCAUUUGUCUCAAAGAAAUACUUGUUCAUGGACUUUUUCAGUGAAGGAAGUUAAUGAUAUUCUUAAAAUACUAUUACUCACAGAUGAACAGAGCUUCACAUGAAUCAUAGUCCCCACCAUCGAUUCACUUCAUACAACUCUUACACUUCAUUUUUCUUUUUUUUUAAGAUUUUAUUUAUUUAGGGGCGCCUGGAUGGCUCAGUCGGUUAGGUGGCUGCCUUCGGCUCGGGUCAUGAUCCCGGGGUCCUGGGAUCGAGCCCCGCAUCGGGUUCCCCGCUUGGCGGGAAGCCUGCUUCUCCCUCCCCCACCCCCCUGCUUGUGUUCUCUCUCUGUCAAAUAAAUAAAUAAAAAUAUUUUUUAAAAAAGAUUUUAUUUAUUUAUUUGAGAAAGAGAGAGAGAACACGAGGAACACGAGCGAGGGGAGAGGCAGAGGGAGAGGGAGAAGCAGACUCCCCCCGCUGAGCAAGGAGCCGAUGUGGGGCUUUUUCCCAGACCCUGGGAUCAUGACCUGAGCCGAAGGCAGACACUUAACCUACUGAGCCACCAAAGUGCCCUCACCCUUCAUUUUCAUUAUAAUUUUUUUAUGAGCACUAUUUUAGCUGGGGUUUCUUAGGAAGAAUGACAUGCUAAUGCUUCACUGAAAGAUGCAAUCCCUGGGCAUCAAGAGCAAGGAAAAGAGGUCAUUUGACAGGGAAGAAUGGGAAGCAAAUAAAUGGUAAUAUAUUCCCAACCUGGUCUAUGCUUCACGAACCUGAAAAGACACAGUUGCUUGGCCAUGUAAAGUAUUUAUGGACAGGCUCUACAGAAAACCGCGCACAGGAACAGUCUAUCAACGUGAGGACCAAAGAAGAAACUUACCUGCAAUCUCCUUCCCAUCUCUAUUUCCCACUGGUCAAAAUUUAUCCCACCAAUGGUUCACUACCCCAGCUUCCAGGUUGAAUCAUCCGAUUCCUUGGGCAGCUACCUAAGAAGCAAAUCCAUGCUCUGCAACCAUGCUCUGGGAUUUGUGCUGAAUUGUUCUACAGACAACUUGGUUAUGCUGGAAGCUGUGUUUCCCAGAAUCCUCUUUUCUACUUUCCAGAUCUGUAUGCAUCCAGAUGGAUAAAAAUGAAGUUGCUGGAGACUUGGCAGGCAAAAGCGAAGCAGCAGCCAUUACCCUCUGAAAGUUGUCGUUGGUUAGACGUGGCAAGAGCCGAAUGUCCACAUGCAAGAGGGUUCUUGUUUGUUCUCAGUCAUCCGUGCUCUGUGUUCUCCUCUGCCCAAUAACUAUGACCACAGUUGGCUUAAUGGACUCUUUACAGACACUUCCAGAGGUGGUGGCUGUAAAGGCCACAACUUUCCGUGGACUUCUACACCAGCCCUCCUCGUGGUCCCACUGCAGCGGCCGGAUGUGCCCAGCUUCCAGAUUUCCCCGAACGCUCGGACUGCUUCGUCUGUUUGAGGGCUGGUCUCUGAUCUUGGCAACCGCUU